rnacentral:lncRNA from 1 species
UUAUAUGGAAUUGUCAAUUCUUCUCUCAUCUAUUUUUUUUCAUUUUUUAUUUUUGUCUUUCAUAUUAUGGUUUCAACCUUUUUUAUUUUUGUCUUCCAUAUGGUUUCAACCUUUAUCAUCACUUUCAUUCUUCUAAUGUCAUGGUAUUUUAAUUAAUUGUUUUGAUGUUGAAAUAUGUACGUGUUUGCUCAAUUUAGUUUUGAAUUUGUCUUAUCCUUUUUGUUACUUUUAAUUUAUUUAUUUAUUCUUUUUAUUAUGUGCAAUUUUGGUGGAAGUGAACACUACUCGAGAGAGAAAGUUGUCUUUGUAGAAAAACUGCCUCAAUAAUCCUUUUUAAAUUUGCUUUUAUGUCUUUUCAAUUUUAUGGUAACAAAGGUAUUAUUAUUGAUUUGUCAUAAAGAGGAGAGAGGUUGAAGAAAUGAGAGAAAAAAAUGAACUGUGAUCAAAUGUUGAAACACAGGGUGAAGUUAAAAAUGAAUUUAAAUUUAUUUGGAUUUAAAGUGAAAUGGAAACUCUUAUAUAAGGAGGAAGUGAGGGAGCACCUAGAUCCAAAACAAUAAUGGAAAAUUGGAGAAAAAAUGGGGAAAUUAAAAUUAGGGUUUGGAAAUGAAUAAUAAAAAAAAUUAAGAAAAAAAUAAAGGAAGAAAGAUGAAUUUUGUUUUGUGUGUUGUGUUAGUGUAUAAUUAACGAAUGAAUGUGAUAUGUAUCCUUAAAUGAAAAAAUUACCCUUUAACUUCCUUUAACUUCCUCUUUGGAUUUAUAAAUUUAUCAUUACAGAGAAAACUGUUUUAUGACAAAAUUAUCCUUUAUGACAAAAUUACCUUUUAACUUCCUCUUUGUCUUUAUAAAUUUAUCAUUACAGAGAAAACUGUUUUUAUAUUUUAUUUUUCUACUCAUCACCACAUAAUAAAACCAACCUUCAUGUACAUUUGAGAUCAAUUAACCGCUACAUAAUUUCUUGGUUUCAUUCUCUCAACCGACCAUCAUUCUCUUGACAGUUACAAUUUUAUUUGCUCAACCGCUCAUCAUCCUUUUGGAAGUCAUGAUUUCAUUCUCUCAACUACUCAUCAUCCUCUCGGCGGCUCUCAAUGCUUUAAAAUUAAAAUUUAUUCUAUCUUCAUCCCACAAAAGAAAAAUUUAAACUUUAAGAGCUUUCAUAUGAAGGUUCCUCCUUAUCCAUAUUCAAUUAUAACUUUU